CCGUUGCCUUUCUCUUUACCCCAUCUCUGAUCCCUCUCUUUUCUCCACCACUGGAUCCUGCCUCUUCGAAACCCUGACAGCCGAAUCCUACUUCCCCAAGCCCUCGAUCGUCAGAUCCCACUUCUCCGAGCCUUUGACUGCCUCCCGCCUCUCCGAGCCCUCAACCUGCCUACUCCUGGCUGCCUUUGAUCCCCAUCUUUCCUCCACCACUGG
rnacentral:lncRNA from 1 species